GGUUUAUGCUUUGGUUUCUCUUCUUAGCUGAAGAACUUGGCUUUUUUUUUUUUUUUUUUUUUUUUUUUUUUGCUUUGUAGUUGAAUACACGUCUCCUAAAUGCUGUCCUGACCCCGAUCACUAAACUGAAAAACAACCCCAAUGCCUAAAAAUAAAGGCUUCAAGGAAGGAUGCCAAGCUCGAUGAUGAGUAUCUCUCAGAGGCGAGAUUUCUGGGGAAUCUUUAUACUUGUCUUCAUGCUUUUCCAUAAUUUCUAACAGUUCUAUCCGGAACACAUGUGUAUUUUUCACCAGAAUAAAAGGCUACUUUUUAAAAUAAAAGUCAGGUCCCCAAUACAAAGAUUCUUUAAGAACAAUUGCCUCGUUCUGCUUCAGAGAAACACAUAAUGUGUCCUAAAUGGAAAUAAAAUCUCUCUUAGCAGCCCUAGAAACUUCCCAAAAGAUCAGACAUGUGGAAGGCUCGGUACUUAUUACAGAACCGAUACGAUCCAACCCCCAAAAUGAUAAUUCGUUAUAAAUACCGUCGGACAAAAGCAUGCAGGGCACACAAUCAGUUAGCGCAAGAUCAUGUCGAAUCUGUAGCGGCCCUGUUAUGAACACGGGUUGUGCCCACGUCCUUUCUGCCUCUCACAUGUAUGAGCAGGAUCAUGGGAUCUCCUCCACAGGAGUUUCAUGUCUGGACAAGCUUCUAAACGCACGUAGAAUUCUGUGUCCCAAAGCAAAUGAUGGACCGCUGAGGGCUUCCCAAACAUGGCUUUUAAAAUAUAUAGACAAUAUCAGUAAGAUUUAAAAUCUCAAGCGGAACUCUUUGGACGCAAGACUUGUCACAAACAGGCUCUGCAGAGGGAAAUGAAGACAGAGGUCGUGGUGCACUCAUUCCUUAAACACAGUGAGAACAGCUGCAAUUAUUUCAAUGAGAGACGCCGGCAAACUCCCCCAGCUUCUGCCCGCUCCCUCUCAGCGAGCCACAAUGUGUUUCCAUGGCAACCCCGUUGCUAAGGGGGACCCGUGAGCAUCAGCGAGUUAUCUGCAGUUUGAGAUGCUGUUAGCCUGAGCAGUGGGGCUGGCUGGAAUAUUGAGAUUUAAUUUAGGGCCAUUUCCCUCCUAUCCUCACAAUGAAUUCGGCAGAGACUGUUAGAGGCCGUCCCCGUGUGAGGGCGAAGGGUGGCCUCCGAGCUUUUAUGUCCCCUGGAUCACACUGGCCUUCAUUUUCACCAGCCUCCUGUGACUUAAACCCCAGAAUUCUAGGAAGGGAAAAAACCAAAAAACAGUGAUAGCAAUUACCAACAUGACCAAAUGCCACAUAAGACUGGUUUUGUUGAGUGUUUAUAAAUGCCAAAUAUAAACCAAACAUAAGUUGUAGGAAAUAAACAUCAUUUUGAAUCAAUAAUCUGAAAGAUUUUAAACAUUAAAUAUUUAGAAAGCCCCAAAUGAAGCAAAUCAAAAUAUUUUUGAAGUUUCCUUUUCAAUGUCUGCAAAAUCAUAUUCUGGCAGAUUGUAACAUUUCAUCAGAAUCCUGAUCGGAAUCCAGAACCUUCCAUCAAGCCAACUCUGAUUGCAUGUUUCACUUGUGGGGGUAAGUUUUAUUGUCGUAAGCGACCAUCCCUUAAAGUGGUCCAAGUUUCUUGGUUCCUUUUUCUUUAGCUUUUGAGCUCCACGUAUGGAAGGAGGACCUUCCUGAUGGCAUGAUGGCACCAAGGCAGCUGUCCUUGGCUAAAACAGGGACCGAGAACCUCAUGCGGCAGGUGGCCCAGCCCAGCUGGAAGAUUCCAGAAGCCAGUCCUGGCGGCCCGGCCCUCGCCACCCAGAAUGGCCACGCUGAAUCUCAGCCUCUACCUCCCCACCAGCUGCUCCAGACGUCAUCUCGGGACGCACAUCGAACAUAAGAAACCUGUGCUUUGCAAAGGAAGGAGCCAGGGACGUGUGACACUGACCUGCCGUGUGCUUCCCUUGUAAUUCGGGGCUUUUCCACGUGUAAGAGGAGAAGAGUGCCAGCUCCCCAUUUUACAGCCGAGGACACGUGGCUUAACGCGGCCUAGGAUCGUGGGGCGGGCGCGUGACCUCCGGCCUCUGACGCUCCCUGACGCUUGGAGACGGGCAGGUGCUCUCCGUGCCAGCAGGUCAACCAGCUCUGGUCAUUCUACAGCUCCUCGUUCAUUACUCUGCUUUCAAACUUCCUUGUAUGUUAUUUAGACGUGUUGAUUGCA